AGUAUGCUUACUACUACAGGAAUAUUAAUCAAAAUAUUAUAUUAAUAAAAAUAAAAAAAAUAAAAAUUGCCCCCAUUUGCACUUUAGUAAAUUCAGCUAAUUUUCAACAAGCCCAGCCAAUGUGCAUUUAUUCCCUUCCAAGUAGUUUCAAGGUCACAAAACAUACCCUAAAGGCAUUUAAUACCUGCUGGAAAAGUACCUGUUGUUGGUCUUAGUGUUUUGAAUGGUCCAUGUGACCUGUCUUUAUUCGCUGUAUGUCACCAACACCAAAACAAACAAUGAGCUCACUACUCUUGUUUGGCAGCUUGACAGCAGAUGUUGGGUGAUUCAGACCUGAACUUCCUGCCACUCUGAAACCCAAUCUGAAAUCACCAUCUCCAUUUAAUCAGAUUUGCCAGUAGUGUUGCUACAACAUCUGCAUGCAAAACAGGACAAUUUGCUUCUGAUGCAAAGAUAUCUGGAUACAAAGGACUGUGAUGUGUACAUGUGAGAGUAUACUGUGUACUGUACGUUUUUGGGUCUGUGAUGUCAAACAAGGUGACGUGGCUUGACUUUGUCAUUGGCUAGCUGCAAAAUAUGAACAUUAGACAGGCUAACAGCAGUCUUGGAUUUGCCUUGUGCACAUUCCCAUCUGGACAAUGUCAGUGCAGGGAAUUUCCAGAAGGUCAAAAGAGGCUAGAAAAAGAGUGCAGGAUCAUCUCACGUCAAGAACACUUGAAUAAACAUGAGCGAUAUCCUUCACUUCCCUCCUCAGCAUUCAUCUCCGGCUCUUUCCUCUCUCCAUUUCUUUAUUUUUACCUUGACAUUUUGCAGGGCUACUUAUAGCUGGUUAGGAGUACACAAAAUACCAUAUUUAUUAUUCAUAUAAAAUGCCCUCCUGGUUAAUGUAACUCUCCCAUUUGCAGAAUACUGAGUGCUGCAGUCUCAAAUAGAGUUGAUGUACCAUUUGCAAUGAGGAAGUAUUGAUUUCCAAUCUGCUGUGUUUUUUCAGGGUGGUGUGAGAGAUAUCAUCAGGCUGUUAGUCGGAGUUUGUAUGUGUGUGUGCAUUUGCGCUUAGAGAAAAAUGGCUGGUUUCUCUCAGCCUGUUAAUCAAAUCCUUGAGUGGCUAAACUGGAUCUCAAUCGAGACGAAGGGGGACGACAGACUUCAUGCAUAAAGAUGCAUUCCAAACACUCAUCUUUCUCUCUUUUUCUCUCUCUGUCCAUCCUAGCCUUGUUUUUCGUCUUCAUGGGCUGAUGGGCUCUUGAGAAAACGGCAGAAAAAUGGCCCUCACCAUCCUUACCAUCCAACAGCUUCUCAAUCAUUGCCCAUGAAAAGCUCUGGAUCCCUACAAUAAAAAGACCACUUCCAUCAGCAAUCACUCAUAGGCAUGGGGAUAAUUAGCAUGUUGGCCCGUCUGCAUACUGAAUGCGUUGAUGAGGGUCUUCCUGCCAGAGAGAAUUAGUCAGAGUGGGGGUUGGAUGGAGGGGAGGAGGCUACUCUACCCAUGCAGCGGGUCACAUGCUGGGGGACAAGACAGAGUCCUGCCUCCUCCUAACUGGCCAGAGAGCUCUACCGAGGGACAGAGGAUGCUGGAAAGAAGAAGCAGGUGACAUCAUGUGAAUCUGCCGCUGCUUGGAUAGUCAUGGCAACUGAUCUGUACUUGUAUAAACACAUGGGGCUGACUCUCCUCCCCUGCGGUCCCUCGUGCCACCAGGAUUCUCACAGAUCCUAGCAGCUACAGGGUUGUACCAUUACUGCUCCAUGCUGCUUCACACACUCACAGGGGAGAGCCUGGCGCCGCUUCUGUCUGUACAGCCGGUCUAACUCCCAGAGCAACUCCUACCAGCGGACCCCGGGGCGCUCUUCACCCAACACCCCUCUUCGACGACAUCCCCCCAGACUCCAGCACUUACAUCACAGCCCUCCACCCUCUCAUCUGUGACCUGUGAUCACACUUGACUUUCUGUCGUCUUUUUAAGUGUUCUUGCACAGCGGGCACUUACGGAUUCAAGCUCACAACGCAGUAGAGUCGCUCGCAGCAUAACAUAAAUGUUAGUGAGAUGAAAUCGGAAGGCAAACACAGACUCAUUUUUAGUUAUGAUGAAUCCUGCUUUCUCAGUUGUGACAACACAAGCUUACCAUGAUAAGACAAUAGUUGUAUUUCAUGCACCGCACAGUGUUUUACAAGCGUAUUAAUUUGUCAUCAACGAUUUCAGAUAAGACACCAGACUUUCUUUUGGUUAUAGAUCAAACCCCAGUCGGCAAAGCAGCGGUCGCCGAUAUGGCAGGGAAUCAGAGGAGAAUUUAAGAGGUUGCAGCAUGAGAUCAUAGGAGUCACACUGAGGCGCGUGCACUAAAAUGACCCUGACCUCUAACGUCUUUGCUCUUGCAUGAGAGAAAACCUUUUAUGUGGUUUUGGAUAGAAGAAGCAAGAGGAGGAGAUGAGAAAUGAAGAGCACAGCGCCGUCCUUCACCAUUAUUAUUGGGUUUUUGGAGGGGGCUCCAGUAUGGCACAAAAAAAAAAGGUCCUCUUUGAAAUGAAGGUUUUCAGAUUUGGACCCCUUGAGAACAGAAUGAUUAAUUUAGCACAAGGAAUAAUGCUUUGGAUGAUAAAGGGAAUACAUUUAUCUUUGCCCUUUCAUCCAGACGUCUCUGACUGUGUGUGGGAGAGCCCAGGAAACCUUGAGGCAAAUGGAAUUGUACAAUUUCAGUCUGGAAUUCCUCCAAAUGAAUCCGAAACCGUGAGAAUGCGCUGGGGCAUCUCUGCUUUAGCAUGGAUGCAGAGAGAGGGAUUCAGUGUAGCUCUGUUGAUGUGGUACACUGGGGUGUAAUCUCAUUAGUAUGCUAUAAGGCUGACCCGGCAGUGCUCGCCAUGUUCACAGCAUUAUGAGGGAGAGGAGAGUGGGCCGCACAGCCUAGUUUCACAUCCAUCCAUUUGACAAAUUUAGAACUCCCUCACACUGUCCCUUCAAACACUCUCCUCCUUUUACAUUUUAUAUAUAAGGCCCACAUGUUCAGACUGUUAUACUGCUCAUCUAGUAGUUUUUUUUUUUUUGCAUCUAAUUUCACUUUUAUCUCUCCCUCUUUUAUCCCUCCCUGUAUCACUAUACUUCCUCCAUCUUUGUCACUGAAAGCGUGUCUAUGAAAGUUUGUUGUCUGUCUCUCUGUCUAUCACCUCUCUUCUUUCUCGCGCUUUCUAUCUCACACCUUUUAUCCUGAUCAGUCUCUCUGACUCAAUGUUAGUGUGAGAGAAUCAAGAUAAAAAUGCCCAGUAACACAUUGAGAGCGAAUUGCCUCCCUAUACAUGUUGGCUUUACCAUGUGGAAGUUGCCGCCUUUUCCAUCGCAUCACCCAUGUGUCUUAUCUCUGCUCUGCUGUGUGUAAAUAUUUAAAGAAGGCUCCAGGAGCAGCGCUGGUAGCAUCUGUGCAGAGCGCACUUCCCAACUGCCCACACUAUCCAUAGGCGAUAUGAC